rnacentral:piRNA from 1 species
AUGAGUGCACACUGCUUUCUGCUGGGACCAGU